AGAGUUUGAUCCUGGCUCAGGACGAACGCUGGCGGCGUGCUUAACACAUGCAAGUCGAACGGACGGAAAGAGAAGCUUGCUUCUCUGGAAGUUAGUGGCGGACGGGUGAGUAACGCGUGGGUAACCUGCCUUUUAGAGGGGGAUAACACUUCGAAAGGAGUGCUAAUACCGCAUAACAUUAGUGAAUCGCAUGGUUUACU
rnacentral:rRNA from 1 species